rnacentral:lncRNA from 1 species
AGAGGCUGCGGCGCGUGGCCUGAGGCGGAGAGCCGGGCUGCGGGGGUCCGGGCCAGGCCAGGCGCCGGCCUGACCCGCCUCGCCGGCAAGAGCAGGCCGGGCUUCCUCCUCCCUUGGCGGGCGGGGGAGGGAAAGGGGGAUCCUGGCCGGGGGUAAGGGGGAAAGGUGGUCCUGAUUCUCCCUGUGCCACCGCCACAAAGCUGAUCCUGGCCUCCUGCGGAGAAGCCUGAGCGCCUUCCCGCAGACCUGACGCGACCCCCUCCCAGGUACCUGGGCCUCGGCCUGGUCUAGCGAGUCCCCUUCCUCCCAAGGAGCAGCCGGCGGAGCUCGGGUGGAGGAAAGCGAGGAGGCGACCAGGAGGAUGCCGCCGCCGCCGCCGCAGGGCCCGGGGCUUCUGCAGGGCGCAAGGCCUCCCUCACCAGGGUAAGGGGCUGGCGAUCAACCUGGACGCCUGGGACCUUGGGAGCAAGCAUCCCGCAGCCGAGCAGGCGACGGCGCGGCCACCGCCUAGAGAGGAGCCGGGGCCCGGGGCGGCGUGCGGGUCGGCAGCAGCCGGCUUGGCCUAUCCGAAACCCCAGGCCUGGAAGCGGCUGCUUUAGGCGUCAAGUUGAGCGGGGUAUGUGUGUCCUCUUGGGAAAAAGGUGAGAAAUGGAGCCGGACUUUCUCCACUCGGUAGGGGUUAAGCUACCACACACACCCCCAAACACAUGCCCACGUGCAAGUCCCUCCCACCCGCCCUCCCAGGGGCGAAGAGACCCUGUCCCAGUGGAAGUGGGGAAACCCAGUCGGGUACAGAAAGCAGAGGCCAUGGCGCAGAGCGGAGGCGCGGCUUUCUGGGGCUCAGCCCUAGGGCUACAGACCCAGGGCGCGGAGAUGCUCGCGGCCGGGCCACCCACCAGAGCCAGGCAACCGGCGCUUCCAGGCGAGCUCCGCGGGGCCGAGGUGCCGGGAGAAGCGGCCCCGGGCGCCCGCGCGCUGCCCGACCUGGGUAACAGGCAAAGCGGAGCCCCGGGGUCGAAGUCCUAAAGUUACUAAUCCCGCGGAGGGGGAGAGAGCGUGCCUCGGGCCGCCCGGGGCGGUCAUUUGAGCGUGUUUACUUAAAGACUUUGCAAGCAGAGCGCGCGCGAAAUCGUCGGAUUUCCAGCGAGGCAGCAAAUAUUUGCAGGCAGAAGAAAGAAGCGGAGCCGAGCCGAGCCGCCGAGUCCCUCCCCCCGGAGCCCCGGAGCCCCGGCGCCUGCCUGGGCGGUCCCGGCCGCGCAGACAGAAAAGAAGCCGGGAAUCUGCGGGGCUGGGGGGCGGGGAGCGACACCAAAGGCCAGAAACUGCAGCACGGCCCGAGGCCCUGGCGAGCUGGGCCUGGGGGAGGAGAAGUCCCUUCCCAUUCCAGCUCGAUCAAUCUUGCUGGGCUGCGAUCGGUCAAUAAAAACGGUGUGAAGCGGCCGCUGUCGCUGUGAGUCUGGGGAGGAAGUGGAGGCCAAAGGUGUCGAGGCCGGCGCCAGUACCCCGCACCAGCCGGGUCCGCGGCCCCGCGGUCUGCACGUCGCAGGCCGGGGGCCAGAGCUUUGCCGGCAGCCGAGAGCGGCCCGGCGGGGCCUUUAAUUGGGUGUCUCCAUUUUAAUAGAGGCCAUUGUUGGAGCAAUUAGAGAAAGACAAUAACCGCCCAGAGACGUUUAAUUCGAUUCCCUGCGCCCGCCGCAGUACGCACCGGGGCGCUCUGGAAGAGUGGCCGAGGCUGCGCGGAAGGGAGGGUCCGCUUGGGGAGGCGCCGGCUUCUUUCCUUGCUUGCUUUGCCUUCGGUGUGGGAAUUGUAAAGGGCGACUGGGGCAAGAUGAAAGCGGGGCGAGGGCGACCUGAGCCAGGCCAGGGCCGGCCUCUCUAGCCCACGCCGGGCGCCCGCGGGACCGCCGCGCCUUUCGCGGCGCGCGUCCAGCUGUGGCCGCCGCGGAGGUCCCCAGCGCCUGUUCAAAGGAGAGAAGCCGGAGGACCGGGCCGUGAAAACUGGCCUCCUUCCUCCUUAGCCCCGGGUCCCCAUUUCUGUCACCCGAACCAUGUCCAUAUUUCCUUCCCUAUGGUGGGAGGAGGGGCAAAGGAGAGAUCCCGGGUAUUGGAGCGCGCACACCUCCGUCUCCAACCCAGCCAGCCUCACCGCCCCCUCCUCCGCCUCGGCCCCUGGAUUAGGUUACCCUGGCCGCGCAAGGGUUUCUACUGGAUAGGACUAUAGCACAGGUAAAGCUGUAUAAACAGCUCGCCGGCUGCCGGGCGGGAGGGUUAUGCCGGGGACACGGCUCCAGGCGCCGCCGCUGGCCCCGGCUGCGCGGGCCACACCGCGGGGAGCCCGCUGCGGCAGGGCGCCCCGGACCGCGCAGGUUAAAUACAUAUUAUCUCUGUCUCUGCCACUCGGGCCCCCGUUUUCUUUCCCUUGCGAGCUGAAAUGCGGAGAGCGGGGAGCAAGACCUAAACGGGAAGAAAAGGCAGUCGGGCAGUGGGCAAUACUGGUUGAGGAUCCCGGCCCAGCAAGGCUGGCUCUCUUCAAACAAAACCCAGAGAGCAGGGAACUUGGGGGAAAGCAGAGAAAGAGGGACCCUAAAACUCACUGGCAAUGGGAAGAUGAUGGAGGCGGGUGCGUCCAAGGGGCAACUCUCCUCGCGGCUCCCACGCCCACGCGCCCCGGGCCAGGAGUCUACCUUCCCCGUGAAAUGAGCUAUCGUUUUGGGGAUGGUAUGUGAUUUGAUUUACCCUUUUUUCUUUUCCUUCCUUUAGUUCUUUUUUCUUUUUCUUUUUUCUUUUUUUUUCUGUUUGUUUGUUUGUUUUGCUUAUUCAUCGAUCACCGUUUAAAACUCGGAAGGAAACCCGCCCAGGCCAGGAGAGCCGCGAGCCGUGGGGAGAGUCAAAAAAGAGGAGAUGCGCUGGGAGAUUCCCCCCGCCCCCGCACUCCGCCCCCAGCCCGGCCCCGGCCUCCACUUCGAGGGAUCCUGACCCUCCCACCGCCACUACCACCUUUUCCCCGGUUGAGAAAACCCCUGAUUGUAGCGAGAUAAAAAUUGGACCCGACCUCUCCUCCGUCCCAGGGGGCCGCUCAGCCACACCGCUAUAGCACCCAGGACUCCGGCCCCUGCACCAAGGAAAGGCUCCAGCCUGGCAGAAAUUCACCCAUUUCAAGGCUUGGCCCACCAGGCCUUAGCAUUGCCGGGUGAGGUGGGGUGCACGCGGUGUUCAGUCUGGCCAGUCGGAGUCACCUGCUCCACUCCCCCGGCCUGGUCACCCACAUCCUCACAGCCACCCAGCUCCUGAGCCCCCUGGCCAACCACAGCCCCAACCCCCAGCGCUGGCCUCAGCCGAGUCUCCUCCGUCUGCUUCAGUUUGGCCUUUUAGGAGGAGAAGGAGGGCUUUAUCUGGGGACUAUUGUGUUUUGACUCAUCUAGAUUAGCCUAGGAGCUGGAGUGUGAUUGUAGCGGGACACUCUGGCAGGGGAUGUGUUCACAGCACGGAUAGGAAAAGAGGGGGAGGGGGACUCCAUUCAGAUCUUGGAGACAGUAGAGGCGCGCUUUUAAAAGCACAAACCGUUCUUGUCUUCCUUUGGACAUGCUAGAGACCACCUGGUGAAAAAAAAAAUCCAUGUUUGUGCCCGACUCAGAGGUGCAAAGGAGGAGGUUUGGCAUGCGCACCCUUCUCCCGGCCUCCCUUGGUCCCGGACUGCCCCCUACCCGCAGCCCCUCCCUCCGGGCAGCUCAGCUCUAGGCUGCCUUCCACCUCGCGGACCCUAAGCAAUUUGUUAUAUAAAACAAAACAGCAACCAGACGCAUGUGCCUGUUCUUCACUAACGCCAGCAGACCGGCAGCGACGGAUACCCGGUGGACCUCAGCCGGGACGCCUCGGGCAGCAGCUUCUUGCCCGCUGCCGCACCCACCUCUGCACCCCAGCUCGGGUCAGCCCAGCAGCCAAAGCAAAAGGGGGAUUCCUCAGUUUGCUCCCUUGGAGGCUACAAAGCCUCUCUCUGGUUAUUCCAACCGUUAAGUAAAAAAGAGGUGAUGGGAAAGAUUUGGUCUGCACACAAAGAUAUACCAGGAGAAGAAUGCACAUUUAUGUGUAAAAUGGCUUAGGCACCAAGAAUGAGACAUCACUUCAGUGCAGCCUAGAAAUAGUUAAAAAUAACCGAAUGCUAGAGGACAGAGGUGGUUUUGGGAUCUGCCCCACACUCCUUAUCAGGAUCCCUAAUUCCCUGCCACCUCCUAUGGUUCCAGGACGCAAACUGCUUUAACCUCCAGAAGAGGGGUUUUCAGCCACCUGGCUCCCACCUACCUGCCGGUUCCCCAGGCACUCUGUGUGACCCAGGGCAACUGGACAACCCAAAAGAAAACCCCUACCAAACAAUGCUCAGGGCUUCCCACUCCCAUCCCUUCUCUGCGCCCCUGACUGUCCCCACCUCGUUUAUCUUCUGCAAGAAGGCAGGGUGUAAAUGUCAAAUAAAGAAAAAUGCAGCUUGCCAGAUCUCCUUGCUUUUGGUGGGGACAGAAUAGCCCCAGUGCUGGGGCUGGCAGAGAUCUCUUGUGCAGAGUGGAGGAUGGGCCCGUGGAUUGCAGCCGCUCCGCAUUUUCUAAGCCCUGCGGCUUCUUGGGCCAGGGACUUAAGGCUUUACGGGGCAGCUGGCUGGGAGCUGCAAGCAGGGCCUCCUGCUUGAUCCCACCGAAAGACUCCAUAAUCAGACCCCCUAUGCGACCCGACACCCAAUGGGGUCUUGGUCUGAACUGACACCACGCCCCGACUGGGUUCAAAUGGGUAGAAAACAAUUCCGUUCUUCUGAAUGGCACAAACAUGUCAUGGUAAGCCCCUGACACACACACACACACACACACACACACACACACACACACACACUGCCAGCCAUUUGGGCCCCCAAGCAUCUCAUUUACAGAUGCCUGGAUGGACUCAACCUGCCUGGCUAGACCCCCAGCCCACCCACUGCUACUACCACUACCUUCUCGGCAGCAGCCGCUAGGCAGAGGAGGCUUUGGAAAUGCUACUUCAACAUGGAUCCCUUUAAAGUUCUUAAUCUCCCAUCUGCGACCCCAGCAUCCUGGUGAGCAUGGACAAUAGGGAGGAGAGAAGGACCAGGAAAUAUGGGAACGAAGCCGAGGGAGAUGCCGCACUUUCCCCCCUGCCCUUGCCAGAAUCACCGGUGUCACUUUCCUCAGGCACCCUGUUGGUGUCCGAGAGAAAGAAAAGGCAUGUAAAGCAGCUGUCCUGCCCAGAUUCACUCCACUUCCUUGACAUUUUAACAAUAUCUGUCUUCAGGGGGGAACUGCCUCUGAGUGACUUUUUGGAGGUCUGUUGGUCUGCUGUCCCGGGAGUUAAGUCCAAAUCUUGUCCUCUCUGCCCCUUCCGCUUCGGAUGCCCCUGGGCACCCUCUGGGGAGGCUGCGGUUUUCUCACCCACCUCAGGGUGCUCCUGGAAGCAAAGAAGCCUCCGGACCCCUAGCUUCCCGGGGGUAUGCCAGAUGCAGACACAUCUGGGUUCCAACUUUAUCUUACAGAGCAGAGCUGUUUCUUUAAUUAUAUGCAGAGACAAUGAGCCUCAACACACACCUUUAAACAGAGGAAAAUAAACAUGAAAUUGACACUGAAGCCACCUUUAGAAGAAGGCUCCUGGGCACAGGGGUUGUUUUCCCCAAUCCUCUGCCCUCCUUGCAGUGGGAAACGUGUCUCCGGCCCUUUCCAAGCAUUCCCACGGGCUCUCAUUCUUCCGUUGGGUUUUUCUUCACAUCCCUACUUCUACCAGCUCUUUCCUGCAAACGAGGACAUCCACACACUCACACACCGUACCCGCCCAAGGUCACCACAGAAACCCAGAGAUUUCCAGUGACCAAAAAGAACAAUAAGAACUGGGUUCUAGUUUAGUUUCUUUCAGAGGGAGUCUGCCCUUUGGAGAGGAGGCCUCCUCCUAAUUCUCUCCACGUGGAGCGGGCAGAGGGAGUGCGGAGUUAGAGAGGGAAGAGAGUGAUAUUCACUGACCUGGGCAGCUCGCUCCCGAGGGCCAGCUGUUUUUUAUUUUUUUUCCUGACUCGCCCGGAGAUCUGAAGGCAGAAAUGACAGGCAGAGUUCGCCACUGUGGCCGCCGCUGCCGUCCUGGCCGCUGGAACUGCUCACCGCAUCUCAGGCGGGCUUCCAGCGAGAGGAACAAAAGCCACCUCAACGCAACAGGCUUUACUGGCUGCCUCUUACAGGAUGGAUUUCAGAAUCCAAGGCUGUACGGGGAGUCCCCUCCCAACCACUGACAGCACCAGAAUCUCCCGGCUUCAGGAAGUGGAAGGGGCAGGAGUCAUUGGCUGCAGCGAACGCAAGAUUCUCAAAGAAAUAGUUUCCUAACAGAAUGACUGAUACCAUUGUGGAAAGAGACAUUAUUCAGGACAUUAUCUGUUUCAUUCUUCCGUCAAGGACAUUUGGAACCACAAAUCAGUCAGGGGAUAAAGAUCCUCACUGUGCCUCACUGUAGACACCUUUGGAAGAGAAACACCUUGUCAGCCACAGAAAUUAAGCUCUGCCAGUUCCAUCUGGCUCUGACGGCAGAUCAUCACACCAGAAGAGCGUCUCGGUUUCAUGAGGUGAGGGUCUGUUUCUCAAAUACCAUCUCCCUCAAUAAAAUCACUAGUCAGGACAAUCCCCGCCCCCCCCGUUUCUUGAACUUCCUUUGGUUGGUGUCACAGCCAGCCACCCAGUAGAGACUGAGACCACCAGUUCAUUUCACACAGGCCACUGAACAGUCAUAAGAUGGUGACAACUUUUGGUCUCUAGUGACCUGGACUGGAUCCGACUCACUGACCUAGAGGUGAAAGGCUCUGUAUUCCAUUACUAAUCCCUCGAGCUCUCCAGCCCCCUGAAAAUGAUUCUUUGGUUUUAUUAUUGCAAAGACCAUUUAUAAAAUCAUGAACUGGAUUUAGGAAAGCAACCAUGAAAUAGCAAGGGACAACAAACUGAUUGAAAUUCCUUAAAUGUAGCAUGGGCUGAAGUCUCUCAGACAGUAAGAUUGGGGGGAAAGUUAUAUAUAGGCACCUCCAUUCUGAUUUCAGUAGCGUGACCUGCUCACUUAAACGUGGCAACUUCAGAUCAUGGACCACGCCUCAAGGAACUAAAUCCUAAAUAAAGAAAAUGGAAAAGCAAACUAUGAAAUAGCCAAUAAUCUUUAUUUUGCACUUCCCCCACCCCUCACCCCUCUCCAAAAACCA